AACGAACGCUGGCGGCAUGCCUAACACAUGCAAGUCGAACGAGACCUUCGGGUCUAGUGGCGCACGGGUGCGUAACGCGUGGGAACCUGCCCUUAGGUUCGGAAUAACUCCCCGAAAGGGGUGCUAAUACCGGAUAAUGUCUUCGGACCAAAGAUUUAUCGCCUUUGGAUGGGCCCGCGUUGGAUUAGCUAGUUGGUAGGGUGAAAGCCUACCAAGGCGACGAUCCAUAGCUGGUCUGAGAGGAUGAUCAGCCACACUGGGACUGAGACACGGCCCAGACUCCUACGGGAGGCAGCAGUGGGGAAUAUUGGACGAUGGGCGAAAGCCUGAUCCAGCAAUGCCGCGUGAGUGAUGAAGGCCUUAGGGUUGUAAAGCUCUUUUACCCGGGAUGAUAAUGACAGUACCGGGAGAAUAAGCUCCGGCUAACUCCGUG
rnacentral:rRNA from 1 species